UUUUUUUUUUUUUCUUUUAUUGUAAGUAAUUAAAUGUAUAAAAGUAGAAGCUAAAUUAAAGUUAAGGGAUUUUUACCACCCUGUCCUUCCAUCAAAAGUCAGCUAGAGAAAUGUUAAGCAAAGCUUGGCCAAAGACGAAGCGAAAAAAAUAGGUUGAGCCAGGGGCUGUGCUGGCUGCUUGGACUGGCUCUGUGGCUCACUUGCAGUCUCUUGGCUGGUUAUAGUCACUUUUAGAUAAAAGAAGAAAACUUCUCUGAGCUUUUUGGGCCCUUUCCAGCUUUGUUUAUUGAAUCUGGAUCCCAUGGGGAGGGGAAAAUGUCCCUCUCAUCUUCCACUCCCCCAGCACAUCUGGGUCAGUCUGUAAACACCUGGCAGGACAGAGGGUGAGGGCAUAGCAGCCUAUAAUUUACUAGAAUCCAGAGUGCAAUAAGGUGGGGGAGAGGAGGAAAAAGCAAACCAAAGUGUUUCAUAUCCUCCCUUUUAGACAAUUUAACACACGCACACAAAAAAAAAAAAAAAGGAAAAAAGGAAAAAAAAAAAGAAAAAUGAAAAGAAAAAGAAACAAAAUGUUCUUGCAACAUCUGCAUAAGACAUCACAGCCAACAGCUGCUAUUGGUUUAGGAGAGAAGACAGAGAACUCAGCCCACCAAUUCUUGGCCCCCUUGACUUUGUUGGCGUGACCUUGUGGAAAGCUAUGGCUUAUUUCAAGCCUCCCGUGACUGUGGUGGUAAAAAUUCACAGCCAGUAGAAUCAUCCCUUCUGAAUUGAGUCAGGUUUACACUUGUGUUUUCUCAGUUGUUUGUUUUGUUUGGGUUUUUCCCCCAUUCAAACCAAUUUAGUCUCUGCGGAAGGUUCACCAGACCUCACGCUUUGUCUUUUUAAAAAAAAAAAACAAAACCAUUUUUUUUAAAGUUUUGACCAAAAAAAGGAAAAAAAAAAAAGAAAAAAGUGAGCAUGUUUGACUAAAACAAAGGAAUAUAAGCUUCAUUUUCUAUUGGUUUUUUUUUUUGUUUUGUUUGUUUGUUUGUUUUUUUGUUUGUUUGUUAAGGUAGACUAGUCCAUAAGAAGUUUUUGGGUCAAUUGAAUGAACUAAGGAAACUGGAACCCAGGCUCCAAGCAAUAGAGAUCCCAAAGGCUGAGCCUUGGCCUGGUGUUAUGUUACAGGGAACACACUGGCCCCUCUCCCGCCAUGCUCCAGGGUGCUGCUACCAGUGCCAUUGUCUGCCUGUCCUGGACCCUGCGAGAGGGGAGCAUGGACUUGUGUUUUUUCCUAACUGUGCUGAGAUGCGCUGUUUUCUUCUGGGGGGUUAGGUGGGAUUUUAGUGUCUUUAGCACUUCCACAUUUUGAAUAUAUAUUGAAUUCUUUUUUCCUUGAUUCCUUGCCAAAACCCCCUGAGAAUGUCCCCAAAAUAGCCUUUGGGGAGGACAGGGAAGGCCCUGCCAUCUACCUUUUUCUCAGAGCAAGUCUCAGCAGGGCUGAGGGACAGCAGUGCAACGUUAGUUCCUAGGCACUUUCACCCUGCCUUUACCUGCCCUCCAACCACCCUAAAGCUGAGUUGAAUCCCACCCUGGCUCAGGCUGCAGCUCCCUUGUGGGUUUGGGACGCUGGUCCCCCCAUUCCCUUGUGGCCCUGCAGUUUGCCCAGCAGUGAUGGGGAUGGCAGGAGGGUGUCUGCAGAAGCCAGCUCUGGGACAGCAGCUCAAGCUGUGACCCACUGAGCCAAGCCAUGGAGCAGCCCAAGGCAUGAGGAAGCAGUGAGCUCCUCAGCAGGCAGAUAACCUGCUCCCCCUCUCUUAACUCCAUUUCUACAAGCAUGUGUGUGGGUGAUGUAGCCUCUCCCCUCGCAGGCCCUCUCGUCAUUUGUUUCUUAAGCCUUUAAGAAUCAUGUUGAAGUUUCAGGACCCAAUGCUAUGUUUUAAAACCAUUUUUCAGAGCAACUUUCUUUUUUAACUU
rnacentral:lncRNA from 1 species